AUGAACGCUAGCGGCAGGCUUAACACAUGCAAGUCGAGGGGUAACAUUGUAGCUUGCUACAGAUGACGACCGGCGCACGGGUGCGUAACGCGUAUAGAACCUACCUUUUACAGAGGGAUAGCCUUUAGAAAUGAAGAUUAAUACCUUAUAGUAUUGAGACUUGGCAUCGAGUUUUAAUUAAAGAUUUAUCGGUAAAAGAUGGCUAUGCGUCCUAUUAGUUAGUUGGUAAGGUAACGGCUUACCAAGACUUCGAUAGGUAGGGGCCCUGAGAGGGGGAUCCCCCACACUGGUACUGAGACACGGACCAGACUCCUACGGGAGGCAGCAGUGAGGAAUAUUGGGCAAUGGAGGCAACUCUGACCCAGCCAUGCCGCGUGCAGGAAGACUGCCCUAUGGGUUGUAAACUGCUUUUAUACAGGAAGAAACACUGCUACGUGUAGCAGCUUGACGGUACUGUAAGAAUAAGGACCGGCUAACUCCGUGCCAGCAGCCGCGGUAAUACGGAGGGUCCGAGCGUUAUCCGGAAUCAUUGGGUUUAAAGGGUCCGCAGGCGGUCAAUUAAGUCAGAGGUGAAAUACCAUAGCUCAACUAUGGAACUGCCUUUGAUACUGGUUGACUUGAGUCAUAUGGAAGUAGAUAGAAUGUGUAGUGUAGCGGUGAAAUGCAUAGAUAUUACACAGAAUACCGAUUGCGAAGGCAGUCUACUACGUAUGUACUGACGCUGAGGGACGAAAGCGUGGGGAGCGAACAGGAUUAGAUACCCUGGUAGUCCACGCCGUAAACGAUGGAUACUAGUUGUUGGGCAUUAGCUCAGUGACUAAGCGAAAGUGAUAA
rnacentral:rRNA from 1 species